UACGUAGGGUGCGAGCGUUGUCCGGAAUUACUGGGCUUAAAGAGCUUGUAGGCGGUUUGUCGCGUUGUUCGUGAAAUCUCACGGCUUAACUGUGAGCGUGCGGGCGAUACGGGCAGACUAGAGUACUGCAGGGGAGACUGGAAUUCCUGGUGUAGCGGUGGAAUGCGCGGAUAUCAGGAGGAACACCGGUGGCGAAGGCGGGUCUCUGGGCAGUAACUGACGCUGAGAAGCGAAAGCGUGGGGAGCGAACAGG
rnacentral:rRNA from 1 species